CAAUAGCGUAUAUUAAAGUUGUUGCAGUUAAAAAGCUCGUAGUUGGAUUUCUGGUUGAAGCGACCGGUCGGGCGUUGAUUCGUCUGCACUGGAGUCGGUUUUGGCCAUCCUCUAGGAAAGUGCGUCUGGUAUUAAGUUAUCGGGCGUAUGAUCCUGGUCUUUUACUGUGAAAAAAUUAGAGUGUUUAAAGCAGGCCUUCGCCUUGAAUACAUUAGCAUGGAAUAAUAAGAUAGGACUUUGGUCUAUUUUGUUGGUUUGCAGACCGAAGUAAUGAUUAAUAGGGAUAGUUGGGGGUAUUUAUAUUCCGAUGUCAGAGGUGAAAUUCUUAGAUUUUCAGAAGAUAAACUUAUGCGAAAGCAUUUACCAAGGAUGUUUUCAUUAA
rnacentral:rRNA from 1 species